rnacentral:pre_miRNA from 1 species
AAUAAGAUCAUUUUUUAGUUUUUUGAUACAAUGGUUUGACUCUUCGUCUUAUUUGAAAUUUUUUGCGAUUAAUAUUUUUAUUCUUACUGGAUGAUAAAACAUUAAUAGUACUUUAUGCGUGACUAAAUUUUUUAAGUUUUUUAUAAGCUUUUCAAAUAAGGUCAAACAUUGCAACGGAAAAAAGAAAAAUGAAGUUAUU